UGUGUAGUGCUUAGCCUCG
rnacentral:misc_RNA from 1 species